UACAGAGGUCCCAAGCGUUGUUCGGAUUCACUGGGCGUAAAGGGUGCGUAGGCGGUCGGGUAAGUCUGAUGUGAAAUCUCACAGCUUAACUGUGAAACUGCAUUGGAUACUAUCCGGCUCGAGGAAUGGAGGGGAGACUGGAAUACUUGGUGUAGCAGUGAAAUGCGUAGAGAUGUGGCGGAACACCGAUGGCGAAGGCAGCCCCCUGGGUCAAGAUUGACGCUCAGGCACGAAAGCGUGGGGAGCAAACAGG
rnacentral:rRNA from 1 species